GGGGCUGAUUUAGGUUUCGACUGAAUGUCUUUGUGUUUGCAGUGCAUGUCGAGGGGAGAUAGGCCUCGUAAAAAAAUCUCAAAAAAUAAUUGCAAAAAAUAAAUAUAAUGAACCUGUUGCAUUAGCAGCUUAAUUGGGUUAAUAACCUAAAGGUUCCCUCUUAAUUUUUUUGUUACUCUUAACAAGAAAAUCAUUAUCUCAUAAGAGGUCUAUAAAUAAGAGCGCUCAUUAUAAAGUGCCUAACUCUAUAAUGAUAAGAAUAAAAAUUAGAGCUAAUUGAUUAAUUGACAUGAUCUUAAGUCAUUUUUCAAUAAAAUAUUAAAGAUCUAAACAUGUAGUAUCUGGAAAAUAUAAGAAUUCUGGACGCGGGUUCGAAUCCCGCCAGCUCCAUUU
rnacentral:tmRNA from 17 species